rnacentral:rRNA from 1 species
AGAUUGAACGCUGGCGGCAUGCCUAACACAUGCAAGUCGAACGGGAGUAGCAAUACUCUAGUGGCGGACGGGUGAGGAAUACGUAGGAAUUUGCCCUUAAGUGGGGGAUAACCCGGGGAAACCCGGAUUAAUACCGCAUGACCUCGAAAGAGCAAAGUGGGGGAUCGCAAGACCUCACGCUUUUGGAGAAGCCUACGUCGGAUUAGCUAGUUGGUGAGGUAAUGGCUCACCAAGGCGACGAUCCGUAACUGGUCUGAGAGGAUGAUCAGUCACACCGGAACUGAGACACGGUCCGGACUCCUACGGGAGCAGCAGUGGGGAAUAUUGGACAAUGGGCGCAAGCCUGAUCCAGCAAUGCCGCGUGUCGUGAAGAAGGCCUUCGGUUGUAAAGCGACUUUAAGGUUGGGUAAGAAAAAACUCGACUACUAACACACGUAGA